rnacentral:rRNA from 1 species
ACACGACCGUACCGCAAACCGACACUGGUGCGCGAGAUGAGUAUUCUAAGGCGCUUGAGAGAACUCAGGAGAAGGAACUCGGCAAAUUGACACCGUAACUUCGGAAGAAGGUGUGCCUUUAGUAGGUGAACCAUUUACUUGGGGAGCCCAAUGAGGCUGCAAAAAAUCGGUGGCUGCAACUGUUUAUUGAAAACACAGCACUCUGCUAAGACGAAAGUCGACGUAUAGGGUGUGACGCCUGCCCGGUGCUGGAAGAUUAAAUGAUGGGGUGCAAGCUCUUGAUUGAAGUCCCAGUAAACGGCGGCCGUAACAAUAACGGUCCUAAGGUAGCGAAAUUCCUUGUCGGGUAAGUUCCGACCUGCACGAAUGGCGUAAUGAUGGCCACACUGUCUCCUCCUGAGACUCAGCGAAGUUGAAAUGUUUGUGAUGAUGCAAUCUCCCCGCGGAAAGACGGAAAGACCCCAUGAACCUUUACUGUAGCUUUGUAUUGGACUUUGAACAGAUCUGUGUAGGAUAGGUGGGAGGCUUUGAAGUGUGGUCGCUAGAUCGCAUGGAGCCAACGUUGAAAUACCACCCUGGUGUGUUUGAGGUUCUAACCUAGGUCCAUUAUCUGGAUCGGGGACAGUGCAUGGUAGGCAGUUUGACUGGGGCGGUCUCCUCCCAAAGUGUAACGGAGGAGUUCGAAGGUACGCUAGGUACGGUCGGACAUCGUGCUAAUAGUGCAAUGGCAUAAGCGUGCUUAACUGCGAGACUGACAAGUCGAGCAGAUGCGAAAGCAGGACAUAGUGAUCCGGUGGUUCUGUAUGGAAGGGCCAUCGCUCAACGGAUAAAAGGUACUCUGGGGAUAACAGGCUGAUACCGCCCAAGAGUUCAUAUCGACGGCGGUGUUUGGCACCUCGAUGUCGGCUCAUCUCAUCCUGGGGCUGUAGCCGGUCCCAAGGGUAUGGCUGUUCGCCAUUUAAAGAGGUACGUGAGCUGGGUUUAAAACGUCGUGAGACAGUUUGGUCCCUAUCUUCCGUGGGCGCUGCAGAUUUGAGGAAGCCUGCUCCUAGUACGAGAGGACCGGAGUAGACGAACCUCUGGUGUAUCGGUUGUCACGCCAGUGGCAUUGCCGAGUAGCUAAGUUCGGAAGAGAUAACCGCUGAAAGCAUCUAAGCGGGAAACUCGUUUCAAGAUUAGAUCUGCCGGGGCCUUGAGCCCCCUAAAGAGUCGUUCAAGACCAGGACGUUGAUAGGUCAGGUGUGGAAGC